rnacentral:rRNA from 1 species
GAGUUUGAUCGUGACUCAGAUUGAACGCUGGCGGCAGGCCUAACACAUGCAAGUCGAGCGGAUGAAGGGAGCUUGCUCCUGGAUUCAGCGGCGGACGGGUGAGUAAUGCCUAGGAAUCUGCCUGGUUGUGGGGAUAACGUCCGGAAACGGGCGCUAAUACCGCAUACGUCCUGAGGGAGAAAGUGGGGGAUCUUCGGACCUCACGCUAUCAGACGAGCCUAGGUCGGAUUAGCUAGUUGGUGGGGUAAAGGCCUACCAAGGCGACGAUCCGUAACUGGUCUGAGAGGAUGAUCAGUCACACUGGAACUGAGACGCGGUCCAGACUCCUACGGGAGGCAGCAGUGGGGAAUAUUGGACAAUGGGCGAAAGCCUGAUCCAGCCAUGCCGCGUGUGUGAAGAAGGUCUUCGGAUUGUAAAGCACUUUAAGUUGGGAGGAAGGGCAGUAAGUUAAUACCUUGCUGUUUGACGUUACCAACAGAAUAAGCACCGGCUAACUUCGUGCAAGCAGCAGCCGACCG